rnacentral:lncRNA from 1 species
CUCAAAUUGAUUUAAAAGAAAUGGUAACCAGCCAAAGGCAUGGCACCACAGAUCACAAAGUUUGGAAAAUGGUAAUUAAUAUGGGGAAGGUACAUUGAACACAAUAACCAUCAUACUUCCUAACAACUUUGAAUUCCACUGUUUAGAUUGCUUCAAUAUCGAAGAUCUUUUGACGGCUAAGGUGCCCCAAGUGAGUGAUGCUUCAUCUGAUGCAGUUACUUGUCA